rnacentral:rRNA from 1 species
GUCCAUGCCGUAAACGUUGGGCACUAGGUGUGGGGGACAUUCCACGUUCUCCGCGCCGUAGCUAACGCAUUAAGUGCCCCGCCUGGGGAGUACGGUCGCAAGGCUAAAACUCAAAGGAAUUGACGGGGGCCCGCACAAGCGGCGGAGCAUGCGGAUUAAUUCGAUGCAACGCGAAGAACCUUACCAAGGCUUGACAUACACCAGACCGUUCUGGAAACAGUUCCUCCCCUUUGGGGUUGGUGUACAGGUGGUGCAUGGUU